rnacentral:rRNA from 1 species
UACGAAGGGGGCUAGCGUUGCUCGGAAUCACUGGGCGUAAAGCGCACGUAGGCGGAUAUUUAAGUCGGUGGUGAAAUCCUGGAGCUCAACUCCAGAACUGCCUCCGAUACUGAAUGUCUUCGAGUCCGGGAGAGGUGAGUGGAACUCCGAGUGUAGAGGUGAAAUUCGUAGAUAUUCGGAAGAACACCAGUGGCGAAGGCGGCUCACUGGCCCGGUACUGACGCUGAGGUGCGAAAGCGUGGGGAGCAAACAGG